rnacentral:rRNA from 1 species
AUUGAACGCUGGCGGCAUGCCUUACACAUGCAAGUCGAACGGCAGCACGGGUGCUUGCACCUGGUGGCGAGUGGCGAACGGGUGAGUAAUACAUCGGAACAUGUCCUGUAGUGGGGGAUAGCCCGGCGAAAGCCGGAUUAAUACCGCAUACGAUCUACGGAUGAAAGCGGGGGACCUUCGGGCCUCGCGCUAUAGGGUUGGCCGAUGGCUGAUUAGCUAGUUGGUGGGGUAAAGGCCUACCAAGGCGACGAUCAGUAGCUGGUCUGAGAGGACGACCAGCCACACUGGGACUGAGACACGGCCCAGACUCCUAAGGGAGGCAGGAGUGGGGAAUUUUGGACAAUGGGCGAAAGCCUGAUCCAGCAAUGCCGCGUGUGUGAAGAAGGCCUUCGGGUUGUAAAGCACUUUUGUCCGGAAAGAAAUCCUUGGCCCUAAUACGGUCGGGGGAUGACGGUACCGGAUGAAUAAGCACCGGCUAACUACGUG